rnacentral:rRNA from 1 species
CCGAGGAAAAGAAAGUAACAACGAUACCCUAAGUAGCGGCGAGCGAACGGGGUAGAGCCUAAACCGUAUUCAUGUCAAGGAUGCAGCCGUUGUGGAUAUGGGGUAGCGGGAAAGAGAGAGAAAGAACAGCAAGCUAUUUCGCAGACGUAAGCAAAGGAACAAGAAAGAUCUGGAAAGGUCUACCGUAGAAGGUGAAAGUCCUGUAUUGGUAGUUUUCUUGCGCUGU